AGCGUAGGCGGACAUUUAAGUCAGGGGUGAAAUCCCGGGGCCCAACCUCGGAAUUGCCUUUGAUACUGGGUGUCUUGAGUAUGAGAGAGGUGUGUGGAACUCCGAGUGUAGAGGUGAAAUUCGUAGAUAUUCGGAAGAACACCAGUGGCGAAGGCGACACACUGGCUCAUUACUGACGCUGAGGCUCGAAAGCGUGGGGAGCAAACA
rnacentral:rRNA from 1 species